AUUGAACGCUGGCGGCAGGCCUAACACAUGCAAGUCGAACGAGUGGCGGACGGGUGAGUAAUGUCUGGGAAACUGCCUGCUGGAGGGGGAUAACUACUGGAAACGGUAGCUAAUACCGCAUACCAUCGGAUGUGCCCAGAUGGGAUUAGCUAGUAGGGGGGGUAAAGGCUCACCUAGGCGACGAUCCCUAGCUGGUGUGAGAGGAGGACCAGCCACACUGGAACUGAGACACGGUCCGUACGCCUACGGGAGGCAGCAGGGGGGAUUAUUGCACAAUGGGCGCAAGCCUGAUGCAGCCAUGCCGCGUGUAUGAAGAAGGCCUUCGGGUUGUAAAGUACUUUCAGCGGGGAGGCGUUACCCGCAGAAGAAGCACCGGCUAACUCCGUGCCAGCAGCCGCGGUAAGAC
rnacentral:rRNA from 1 species